AUGAUGGUUAAUUAUAUACUUUAUAUAAUAAUAAUGCAGAUGAAUCGGCAAUGGAUGUACGGUUCCCGACUCUCCGGCGAGUUCACUACGGGUUUGAAAGAUUUCCUCGUAGUGGCAAAUGCGAACAAGCAGCAAGGUUUUAUUAUCUGUCCAUGUGCUGUCUGUAAGAAUGAGAAGGGUUACUCCUCCUCAAGAAGAGUUCACAUGGACCUGCUUAAGCAUGGUUUCAUGCCAAGCUAUUAUUGUUGGACCAAGCAUGGAGAAAGAGGGGUUAGAAUGGAAGAAGAUGAAGAAGGGGAUGAUAUCGAUGACAACUAUCGUGAUCUUUUCGGUGAUACUUUCAUGGAGGAUGAUGCUGAAGGUGUGGAAGGGUUAGGUGAAGGUGAAGAAGAGGCACAUGAUGAGCCCGCUGAUGAUCUUGGUCGGACCAUUGCUGAUGCACGGAGACGCUGCAAAACUGACAAGGAGAGGGAGAAUUUGGAUCGCAUGUUAGAGGAUCACAAAAAGUCGUUGUAUCCAGGAUGCGAUAAUAGUCUGAAAAAGCUGGGCUGCACACUGGAUUUGCUAAAAUGGAAGGCACAGGAAGGUGUAGGUGACUCAUCAUGUGAAAAUUUGCUGAAAAUAUUGAAGAAUAUGUUGCCGAAGAAUAAUGAGUUGCCCGUCAGUACGUACGAAGCAAAGAAGGUUGUCUGCCCUCUAGGUUUAGAGGUUCAGAAGAUACAUGCAUGCAUUAAUGACUGCAUCCUCUACCGCGGUGAAUACGAGAAUUUGAAUGAAUGCCCUGUAUGCACUGCAUUGCGUUAUAAGAUCAGAGGCGAUGACCCUGGUGACGAUGUUGAGGGCGAGAAACCCAGGAAGAGGGUUCCCGCCAAGGUGAUGUGGUAUGCUCCUAUAAUACCACGGGUGAAACGUCUGUUC
rnacentral:rRNA from 1 species